GGAAUGCGUGUGUGCCUCAUAUUUUGGGACGAAGGGAGUAUUAUGAAUAUAUGCAGGAUAUAAUUAGGUAAAAUACUUAAGAUCUAUUGUUUGUACUAUCUAGGUGACAUAUACUUAUCAACUUCAGUAUAUCAUUAACCAUCAAAAGGUCAAGAAGUUUUAGAAAACAUAGCACAACUGUUGAAUCAAAUAUGUUUUCAUGUCCUCAUUAUUCUUUAUAUACAUGCAUCAUUGCUACCAUGCAUCGGAGCGUGUAGAACACGCGAGCAAAUGAGGAGAAUCUGCCGAUGGUACUGUGCUCUAAGGAAGAACU
rnacentral:lncRNA from 1 species